rnacentral:rRNA from 1 species
UGACGCGAACGGGUGAGUAACACGUGGGCAACCUCCCUCAGGCUCUGGGACAACUCCGGGAAACCGGGGCUAAUACCGGAUACGACCUUCUUCCGCAUGGGGGUUGGUGGAAAGUUCUUCGGCUGAGGAUGGGCCCGCGGCCUAUCAGCUUGUUGGUGGGGUGAUGGCCUACCAAGGCGACGACGGGUAGCCGGCCUGAGAGGGCGACCGGCCACACUGGGACUGAGACACGGCCCAGACUCCUACGGGAGGCAGCAGUGGGGAAUAUUGCGCAAUGGGCGGAAGCCUGACGCAGCGACGCCGCGUGAGGGAUGAAGGCCUUCGGGUUGUAAACCUCUUUCAGCAGGGACGAAGCGAGAGUGACGGUACCGCAGAAG